UCCUAUUGCUAAUGGUCUAUUCUACUUCAGAUGGAUGUACGUGGAUCCCUUGCAGAUCUUUUUAAUAUGCAGUUGAACCCGCUGUUGGCUUAAGACGUAUGGAGAGCCAAGUGAGACGGGAUCUUCUAUGAAGAGCUUGGGAGAGGUUAGAUUUAAGGGGUUAUAGAACAAUCUCCCUCCUGGAAUAUGAUCCCGUUCACACUUUAUGGAUGUACAUCGUUAUUAAAAUGACAAUUGACCAUCAUUUGGCCUCACAGGGGAGGCCGGCACGAUAAAAAGCCUCUACAUGUGAUGUCCAAAAAAUGUAAACAUGUAAUUUAGUAAAUUAUAGCCCAUUGUGGGGUGCAACCAAUGUUAUUAUCUUUUUUAUUGUAUACAGCUUCCUUAUUUGGCAUC